GACGUAGGGCGCGAGCGUUGUCCGGAUUUAUUGGGCGUAAAGAGCUCGUAGGCGGCUUGUUGCGUCGUCCGUGAAAACCUGGGGCUCAACUCCAGGCUUGCGGUCGAUACGGGCAGGCUAGAGUUCGGUAGGGGAGACUGGAAUUCCUGGUGUAGCGGUGAAAUGCGCAGAUAUCAGGAGGAACACCGGUGGCGAAGGCGGGUUGCUGGGCUGACACUGACGCUGAGGCGCGAAAGCUAGGGGAGCGAACGGG
rnacentral:rRNA from 1 species